rnacentral:rRNA from 1 species
UACAGAGGGUGCGAGCGUUAAUCGGAAUUACUGGGCGUAAAGCGCGCGUAGGCGGCUUUGCAAGUCGGGUGUGAAAUCCCCAGGCUCAACCUGGGAACUGCAUUCGAGACUGCAUUGCUAGAGUAUGGGAGAGGGAAGUGGAAUUUCCGGUGUAGCGGUGAAAUGCGUAGAUAUCGGAAGGAACAUCAGUGGCGAAAGCGACUUCCUGGACCAAUACUGACGCUCAUGUGCGAAAGCGUAGGG